rnacentral:rRNA from 1 species
AGCUCCAAUAGCGUAUAUUAAAGUUGCUGCAGUUAAAAAGCUCGUAGUUGGAUUUCUGGGCAUCCGAAUUUGGCCGGCCACGGUUUCGUGUGUUAGUGCUUUGUUCUGUGUCCAUCCUUCCAAUCGCCCUGGCUCUUCUUCAUUGAUGGGUCAGGGGUAUUGGAUCGUUUACUUUGAAAAAAUUAGAGUGUUUCAAGCAGGCUUAUGCUAUGAAUACAUUAGCAUGGAAUAAUAAUUUAGGACUUCGGUUCUAUUUUGUUGGUUUCUAGGACUGAAGUAAUGAUUGAUAGGGAUAGUUGGGGGUGCUAGUAUUCAGCGGCCAGAGGUGAAAUUCUCGGAUUCGCUGAAGACUAACUUAUGCGAAAGCAUUCACCAAGGAUGUCUUCU